GAAAAAGUACGCAAGAACUGCUAAUUCAUGCUUCCAUGCCCAAAAACAUGGCUUUUUCA
rnacentral:tRNA from 1 species